GACGAACGCUGGCGGCGUGCUUAACACAUGCAAGUCGAACGGUGAAGGGGUCUGCUUUUGUGGGCCCUGGAUGAGUGGCGAACGGGUGAGUAACACGUGAGUAACCUGCCCCCUUCUUCUGGAUAACCGCAUGAAAGUGUGGCUAAUACGGGAUAUUCUGGGUCUGUCGCAUGAUGGGUCUGGGAAGGAUUGCGCCUUUGGGUGUUUUUGGUGGGGGAUGGGCUCGCGGCCUAUCAGCUUGUUGGUGGGGUGAUGGCCUACCAAGGCGGUGACGGGUAGCCGGCCUGAGAGGGUGGACGGUCACACUGGGACUGAGACACGGCCCAGACUCCUACGGGAGGCAGCAGUGGGGAAUAGUGCACAAUGGGCGCAAGCCUGAUGCAGCGACGCCGCGUGAGGGAUGGAGGCCUUCGGGUUGUAAACCUCUUUCGCCAGUGAAGCAGGCCUGCUCCUUGUGGGUGGGUUGACGGUAGCUGGAGAAGAAGCGCCGGCUAACUACGUG
rnacentral:rRNA from 1 species